GUGUUCACUUUAGCAAUAUAUACAUCAAAAUGGAAAGAAUGCAGAGAAGAUUAGCAUGGCCCCUUAAGCAAAGAUGGCAUGCAAAUUCUAGGGUAAUCACCAAAGAAU
rfam:Callithrix jacchus chromosome 13, whole genome shotgun sequence